rnacentral:rRNA from 1 species
AGCUACCAUGCAGUCGAGCGCGAAGCACUUCGGUGUGAGUAGAGCGGCGGACGGGUGAGUAACGCGUAAGAAUCUACCUAGUAGUGGGGGACAACUCGAGGAAACUCGAGCUAAUACCGCAUACGCCCUACGGGGGAAAGCGGGGGACCUUCGGGCCUCGCGCUAUUAGAUGAGCUUGCGUUGGAUUAGCUUGUUGGUGAGGUAAUGGCUCACCAAGGCUACGAUCCAUAGCUGGUCUGAGAGGAUGAUCAGCCACACCGGGACUGAGACACGGCCCGGACUCCUACGGGAGGCAGCAGUGGGGAAUAUUGCGCAAUGGGCGAAAGCCUGACGCAGCCAUGCCGCGUGUGUGAAGAAGGCCUUAGGGUUGUAAAGCACUUUCAAUUGGGAGGAAAAGUUAACGACUAAUACUCGUUAGCCUUGACGUUACCUUUAGAAGAAGCACCGGCUAACUCCGUGCCAGCCGCGGGGGUA